rnacentral:rRNA from 1 species
CACGUAGUUAGCCGUGGCUUAUUCAAGGGGUACCGUCUUCUGCUCUUCCCCCUUAAAAGAAGUUUACAACCCGAAAGCCUUCUUCCUUCACGCGGCGUUGCUGGGUCAGACUUGCGUCCAUUGCCCAAUAUUCCCCACUGCUGCCUCCCGUAGGAGUCUGGGCCGUAUCUCAGUCCCAAUGUGGCCGGCCAACCUCUCAGUCCGGCUACUGAUCGUCGCCUUGGUGGGCCGUUACCUCACCAACUAGCUAAUCAGACGCGAGGCCAUCUUCCAGCGAUAAAUCUUUGACGUCGGAGUCAUGCGGCUCCAACGUAUCAUGCGGUAUUAGCAGUCGUUUCCAACUGUUGUCCCCCUCUGGAAGGCAGGUUCCUCACGCGUUACUCACCAGUCCGCCACUAAGCAUUCCCUUCCGUUGUCCGAAAACUCCUUCAGGGGUGCUCCGUUCGACUUGCAUGUGUUAAGCACGCCGCCAGCGUUCGUCCUGAGCCAGGAUCAAACUCU